rnacentral:rRNA from 1 species
AGAGUUUGAUCAUGGCUCAGGAUGAACGCUAGCGGCAGUAAUACAUGCAAGUCGAGGGGCAGCAUGAGUAGCAAUACUUGAUGGCGACCGGCAAACGGGUGCGGAACACGUACGCAACCUUCCUUUAAGUGGAGAAUAGCUCCCGGAAACGGGAAUUAAUACUCCGUAAUAUUAUGAAGUGGCAUCGCUUUAUAAUUAUAGAUUUAUCGCUUAAAGAUGGGCGUGCGCCUGAUUAGGUAGUUGGCGGGGUAACGGCCCACCAAGCCUUCGAUCAGUAACUGGGUGAGAGCACGACCAGUCACACGGGCACUGAGACACGGGCCCGACUCCUACGGGAGGCAGCAGUAAGGAAUAUUGGUCAAUGGACGCAAGUCUGAACCAGCCAUGCCGCGUGGAGGAUGAAGGUCCUCUGGAUUGUAAACUUCUUUUAUUUGGGAAGAAAUGCAUUUUUUCUAAAGUGCUUGACGGUACCAGAUGAAUAAGCACCGGCUAACUCCGUGCCAGCAGCCGCGGUAAUACGGAGGGUGCAAGCGUUAUCCGGAUUUACUGGGUUUAAAGGGUGCGCAGGCGGAUAUGUAAGUCAGUGGUGAAAUCUUUGGGCUUAACCCGAAAAUUGCCAUUGAUACUAUAUAUCUUGAAUGCUGUGGAGGUAAGCGGAAUAUGUCAUGUAGCGGUGAAAUGCUUAGAUAUGACAUAGAACACCUAUUGCGAAGGCAGCUUACUACGCAGAUAUUGACGCUCAUGCACGAAAGCGUGGGGAUCAAACAGGAUUAGAUACCCUAGUAGUCC